rnacentral:rRNA from 1 species
UGCGUAGGUGGCAAGCGUUAUCCGGAUUUAUUGGGCGUAAAGGGAACGCAGGCGGUCUUUUAAGUCUGAUGUGAAAGCCUUCGGCUCAACCGGAGUAGUGCAUUGGAAACUGGGAGACUUGAGUGCAGAAGAGGAGAGUGGAACUCCAUGUGUAGCGGUGAAAUGCGUAGAUAUAUGGAAGAACACCAGUGGCGAAAGCGGCUCUCUGGUCUGUAACUGACGCUGAGGUUCGAAAGCGUGGGUAGCAAACAGG